GCUGGACACUUCAGGUAUGGAGGACUGACAAGUCUUUGUGCUUGCCUUCAUUAUGAGCUUCACACAGAAAGGAAGGAGUGGUGGUGUAAGGAACAACAAAGCUCCAUGGUUAACAUCACUGAGAUGGAGCAGCUAUAGUGAAAGAGAAGAAGUUUUGAAUAUCAGGCACGACUGAUUUAGGACAACUAAAGUGGAUCCUGAGGUAUAAUGGAACUUCAGGGAAAAAAGCAAAGAGGGUCACUAAAGGAUUCCACUAAUAUCUUAUGCAUGUACUGG